CAAGGGUUUUCUUUUUCUGUGGGGUUUUGUGCUUCACUACGUCGUCUGCUUCUCUCGUCCCCAUUCGAAGAUGAAGCUCGUCAGGUUUUUGAUGAAGCUGAACAACGAAACUGUGUCAAUCGAGCUGAAGAACGGAACCGUAGUUCAUGGCACUAUCACUGGUGUGGAUGUGAGCAUGAACACUCACUUAAAGACUGUAAAACUGACUCUGAAGGGGAAAAACCCAGUUACGCUUGAUCAUCUAAGCGUUAGGGGUAACAAUAUCCGCUACUAUAUUCUUCCCGAUAGCUUGAAUCUGGAAACUUUACUUGUGGAGGACACACCCCGGAUUAAGCCCAAGAAAGCUGCUGCUGGGAAACCUGUUGGACGUGGCAGGGGACGAGGACGUGGGCGUGGGCGUGGGCGUGGCAGAGGUCGUUAGAUGUGUUCUUUGUAUGAAACCUGUUGGAUAUGACAGGGGAUGGCGACAUGGACUUGUGCAUUUGCCCUUGUUGGCUACAAUCCAGGAGCAGUGCACUGAGUAAAGCUGAGGUUCCCCGAUGAGUAACUGGUUGGGAUUGCACUGGUAGGGAUAGGGAUAGCAAGGCACGCCAUAUCCAUGAGGCCAUGGACAGCAAGUUUUCUCGUUAGGGCGAUCAUAUCCACUUCAUCCCCAGUGACCUCUAUCUGGUUCCUGUGAUCCCCCUUGAUUUCUACUGCCGUCACGCCUAUACGAUCAUAUGUACAUAAGCAUAUAUAUAUAUAUAUCCCCGUCAGUUCCACUGACACAGAAUGUUUGAAGCAUCAGUUUCUCAAGGUUCUGUCUGAGAAAUUUUACCUGUAAACUGAACUGCUUUGUUCAUUGCUCUUGCUCGGGUUUUAUCA